GCCGAAGUGGUGAAACUGGUAGACACGCCAGCUUGAGGGGCUGGUGGCGCAAGCCGUGUGGGUUCGAGUCCCACCUUCGGCACCA
rnacentral:tRNA from 1 species